rnacentral:lncRNA from 10 species
GAAAGAACAAGCCGAGUAUGCUGUAGGACAUCUCUGGAGCGUAAUCUGGACAGGGGAAUAGUAGGAGGUAGAAACUGAAAGGUAGGUGUAGCCCGGUCCUACAUAGUUACAUGGUAAGGAGUUGGGAGACAUUCUCUAUGUAUUAUGAAGCCAUUGGUGGGUUUUAUGUAGGAAAUUUAACGUGUUGUGUUGAAUAUCUUUUAAAGACACCCUUUGCUGCUGUGAAAAGAGGAUUGUCUACUAACAAGAGUAGAAGUAAACAGACCAAUUAGGAAGGCAAUUGCAAUAAUCCAAGUCCUUCGUGUGAGCACACAGAGAGAACCAGCAACCCCCAUAUCCACUUGAAGGCACGUGCACGUUGUCCAGAAUCUCACCCCACUUCCAUCAGCCAUCACCUUCUGCCAAGAAAGUGAUCCUUGUGCAGUUUCUGUGCCUGAUGUAACUGUUUCCAUAUUCACUUGGCUUCCUAAUUGGGCCUCGUACCUUUUGGAGAAAAAAAUUGAGGUUGCCGCCAGCUUGGCAGAAGCUAAAGUGAGAAGCCAUGCAGAUAUGGUUUCUGAAGAAGCAAUUGAUUUGUUUCACACACUACCUACCUUCCUUGAAAAUUAAAAAAGCUCACCGACAAAGUGGCAAUUGGUCAGGACCUCAGGAGGGCGAAAAUACAAAAAAAAAAAUUAAUUUCAAACUGUGAAACUCAGCCAGUGAGAGCUAAUAGCCUCACUCCCGACACACAGCAUUCACCUUCUAGUAGACUCAACACAGCCUUGGUGUGGGUGCGUCUGCUGAUUUUUUUCCUUUUUUCUUUUUUUUAAUUGGGGGAAAUCUGUGAAGUCAUAUUCCUCUUACCUGGAUUUCAUCACUCCCCCUACAUGGACUAAACGUCAUCAACGUCUUCCUAAAGGACAGUUUGCAAACCCCGUCUCCCAUUAUUUCUCCUACCACUCUUCUACCGUGGAGCAGACAACAGUUGUUCCCACAGUUCUCUCUAAUGGUGGAAACAUAGUAAUUAACCACAUCCUCUCAAAUGUUGGUUGAAUGGCUGGCCCCUAAUUUGUCUACUUUCUGCAGAGGUUUCAGUGUCUCAUGAAAUUUAUUGCCAUACUAAAGUCACCUUUUAAAUUAUGGAUCAUGAUAUUGUUAUGCUGCUAAAAAUGUUCACAGCAUUGUAAUUUUAUGCACUGG